AAACCUUAUAUAUAGUUUUUUCAUAUAAUCGCGGGGAUAUGGCCUGCAAGUUUCUACCGGUUUACCGUAAAUGAACCGACUAUGGAAAAGCGGAAAAUUCGA
rnacentral:ncRNA from 2 species